UGGAGGGCGCGGCUACCAUGCGAGUCGAGCGGUAACAGAAAGUAGCUUGCUACUUUGCUGACGAGCGGCGGACGGGUGAGUAAUGCUUGGGAACAUGCCUUGAGGUGGGGGACAACAGUUGGAAACGACUGCUAAUACCGCAUAAUGUCUACGGACCAAAGGGGGCUUCGGCUCUCGCCUUUAGAUUGGCCCAAGUGGGAUUAGCUAGUUGGUGAGGUAAUGGCUCACCAAGGCAACGAUCCCUAGCUGGUUUGAGAGGAUGAUCAGCCACACUGGAACUGAGACACGGUCCAGACUCCUACGGGAGGCAGCAGUGGGGAAUAUUGCACAAUGGGCGAAAGCCUGAUGCAGCCAUGCCGCGUGUGUGAAGAAGGCCUUCGGGUUGUAAAGCACUUUCAGUCAGGAGGAAAGGGUGUGAGUUAAUACCUCAUAUCUGUGACGUUACUGACAGAAGAAGCACCGGCUAACUCCGUGCCAGCAGCCGCGGUAAUACGGAGGGUGCGAGCGUUAAUCGGAAUUACUGGGCGUAAAGCGUACGCAGGCGGUUUGUUAAGCGAGAUGUGAAAGCCCCGGGCUCAACCUGGGAACUGCAUUUCGAACUGGCAAACUAGAGUGUGAUAGAGGGUGGUAGAAUUUCAGGUGUAGCGGUGAAAUGCGUAGAGAUCUGAAGGAAUACCGAUGGCGAAGGCAGCCACCUGGGUCAACACUGACGCUCAUGUACGAAAGCGUGGGGAGCAAACGGGAUUAGAUACCCCGGUAGUCCACGCCGUAAACGAUGUCUACUAGAAGCUCGGAACCUCGGUUCUGUUUUUCAAAGCUAACGCAUUAAGUAGACCGCCUGGGGAGUACGGCCGCAAGGUUAAAACUCAAAUGAAUUUGACGGGGCCCGCACAAGCGGUGGAGCAUGUGGUUUAAUUCGAUGCAACGCGAAGAACCUUACCUACACUUGACAUACAGAGACUUUCUAGAGAUAGAUUGGUGCUUCGGACUCUGAUACAGGUGCUGCAUGGCUGUCGUCAGCUCGUGUUGU
rnacentral:rRNA from 2 species